AUGACGACCUGCAGAUCCCAGCCCCAGCUCCAAAGAGAAAAAAGGAAAAUAAUCUUACAGAUGGACUUCAAUAAAGAUGUGCCAAAGCCAAACGUUACAGUGACACCAAAAGUACCAAAACCAACCAGGCAGAGGCCCAAGGGCGAAGAUGAGGAAAGUUUUCCUGAGAAUGUAAGUGAAACUACCGCUUCUAAUCAAAAUGAAACGGAUGAAGAUGAAGAUGAAGAUGAUGAAUGUUCCGAUGACAGUGACGAUGAAGACCCGUCAACACCAAGUCGAAGCAGCAGAAAAAGAAGCAAGGAUAAGCUGAGGUUCGACAGUAAAAUCUGCGAUUUCCACCAAGCAUAAUGUCAAAAGACAUGGCGGCACCCUCAAUUUUGAGCCCACCCGAGAAAUGAUCGAAGCCAAGCCGAAGAAAAGAGAACAGAAGAACUCAUCUGCAAAAAAGUAGUUUUUGUAUUGUAUUGUAGUAUAUUAUCAAAAAUUGUCAUACAUUGGAAAUUUUUGAAAAGCUACAAUGGCCAGUUUUAACUAUAUUCUGUUUUUAAAAUUUGUUACCUGAUUAAUAAUUUAUAAGUAAUUGAUACUUAAGAGGUUACCUAAGUAUUCAGGUUGAGAAGUUACUUCUCCAACAAAUUUCAUAAAUUUGAAACUUGUAUUUUUUCCUUUGUUUUAUUACUAGACUAAUUUUUUAUUUUUCAUCGUUACCUGAAUAAUUACUAAGUAAUUAUUAAGGCUGAAAAGUUGUUUCUCCAAAAAAAAUUUAACACAUUUGAAAUUUGUAUUUUUUCCUUUAUUUUGUUACUUGACCAAGUUUCUAGUCUUCACUCUUCACCUGAUUAAUUACUAAGUAAUUGUUACUAGAGAGGUUACCGUAGUAUUAGAGCUAAGAAUUUCUCGCCCAAAACCUUUAUACCUCUGAAAUGUGCAUAUUUUCCUUUGUUUACUAAUUGUGUCAAAUUUUAGACUAAUUUUCUGUUCCUCGAUCUUGUGCACUUGAGCUUAGAGUCAGAUCGGGCAUUUUGCCUAACUUCCAGACUUGAUUGGACUGUUUGCAUGCACAGUAUUUUCUUCUUUUUUUUUCAUAAUGAUUUCAACACUAUUGAAUCACAAAUAAAACCGAAGGUGCAUAACCUUUUCUUUCUCUUCAUUUCAAGUCUCAAUUUUAGUCCUAAGGCGUUGCAGUGCAAUGAAGUAAUGAGUUAUCGUAGUGUUUGUAACAUUUUUGACAAGACUAAUUGUACCAAAGUUGUGCAACCUAUUUUUCUAAUUUUUGUGCUGAGUAUUAGUAUUGAAGCACUGUACUGCAAUUAUUUCUCAAAUUAAUUGAGAGUGCCUUUUUCAGUGCAUUUGUUAUUUUGUUCCUAUCUGAUAGUCCUAAAUUUACUUACUUCUGUGAUUUGUAUUGCUUUCAGCAAAUUACUAUUAAAUAAGACUUUGGUGCUGUACCUAUGUGUGCACAUUCUCAUCUUUAUUGUCGCCAUAUUUCGUCUGUAUUUUCUUUACUUUCUCACGACCCUUGUUUUCUUUUGUGUUCAAACAUUUUCCUUUAUGAGACUCAUAUUAUUAUAUUACUUUAUGAGACUUGCCAUAACUUCAUGCGCUUUCUCUUAUUUAUGCUGUUUGUGAAUUUCUUAGUAAUUCCUUUCUUUGUAUUCAAACAUUUCUCUAAAUAAAUAUAUACGUUCCAAUAAAGCUGUCAUCUGUAUUUAAUCU
rnacentral:lncRNA from 1 species